AUUGAACGCUGGCGGCAGGCCUAACACAUGCAAGUCGAGCGGUAACAGAUCUAGCUUGCUAGAUGCUGACGAGCGGCGGACGGGUGAGUAACGCGUAGGAAUCUACCCAGUAGUGGGGGACAACAGUUGGAAACGACUGCUAAUACCGCAUACACCCUACGGGGAAAAGGGGGCUUCGGCUCUCGCUAUUGGAUGAGCCUGCGUGAGAUUAGCUAGUUGGUAAGGUAAUGGCUUACCAAGGCGACGAUCUCUAGCUGGUUUGAGAGGAUGAUCAGCCACACUGGGACUGAGACACGGCCCAG
rnacentral:rRNA from 1 species